GGAGGAUCUUUUCCGUUGUUGUCUGUGGCGGGGACGGGUCAGGUCUCUUCCUUGUAGGUUUCGUGGAUAACCGUUGGUGAAAUCAUGAGUGGGUACAGUAACGCGGACGAAUACUCCGAAGGAGCUAAGAUCAACGCCAGCAAAAACCAGCAAGAUGAUGGGAAAAUGUUUAUUGGAGGGCUCAGCUGGGACACGAGCAAAAAAGAUCUUACGGAAUACCUCACAAGAUUCGGAGAAGUGCUUGACUGCACAAUUAAAACAGAUCCGGUCACUGGACGAUCAAGGGGUUUUGGAUUUGUUCUCUUUAAAGAGGCUAUAAGUGUAGACAAGGUACUUGAGCUGAAGGAACACAAACUUGAUGGCAAACUUAUUGAUCCCAAAAGAGCAAAGGCAUUGAAAGGCAAGGAGCCUCCCAAGAAAGUCUUUGUUGGUGGCCUAAGCCCUGAUACUACCGAGGAACAGAUCAAGGACUACUUUGGUGGUUUUGGUGAAAUUGAGAACAUUGAACUUCCCAUGGACACAAAGACCAAUGAAAGGAGAGGGUUCUGUUUCAUCACAUACGCAGAUGAGGAUCCAGUAAAGAAGUUGUUGGAAAGCAGAUAUCACCAGAUCGGCUCAGGAAAGUGUGAAAUCAAAGUUGCACAGCCUAAAGAAGUAUACAGACAACAGCAACAGCAGCAACAACAAAAAGGAGGAAGAGGUGCAUCGCCAGGACGAGGCGGUGGAAGGGGGAGAGGCAGAGGAGGUCAAGGGCAGAACUGGAAUCAAGGUUACAAUAACUACUACGAUCAAGGAUAUGGAGGCUAUGGAAACAACUCUUACAAUGACUCGUACAACAGUUAUGGUGGAUAUGACUAUUCAAACUAUGGAAACUAUGGUGGAUACAAUCAAGGGUACACAGACUACAGUGGCCAGCAAAGCACAUAUGGCAAGGCAUCUAGAGGAGGCGGAAGUCACCUAAAUAACUAUCAGCCUUAUUAAUGGCUUUUACAAUCACAUCAGCGGGAACUUCAUUGCAGGCCGUGUGUCACCCUGACCACGUCUAUCUCUGGGGUCGCACGUUGUGGGCAGAGUGCAAGGCGUACACCAGAAACCGCUGUCCUGUGGUAGCUAUGGCUAAGGAUCGGCUACAGGAGGCUUUCAUCCAGACUGGGAGUUUACAAUUUUCUCUUAUGAGGACUUUGUGUACAGGACACACUUGUGUCUUGAUGUAAAUAGCAUCUGGUCCCCCCCACCCCUAUUUUUUUUUUUCUCCAUGAUCUGUCAACUUCAUCUGUGUAUACAGUGAUUUUAUGUUUCCCCCUAAUUUUAUGUUUAUAAAAUGUAAUUUUGUGACAUUCA